rnacentral:tRNA from 1 species
GCCUGGCUGGCUUAGUUGGUGGAGCAUGUGACUCUUGAUCUCGGGGUUGUGAGUUUAAGCCCCACAUCGGGUG